rnacentral:misc_RNA from 1 species
UGUGGGAGCGGGCUUGCUCGCGAAUGCGGUGUGUCAGUCAGCAAAUUCUUCACUGACCCACCGCAUUCGCGAGCAAGCCCGCUCCCACA